rnacentral:rRNA from 1 species
CCCGUGAUCUCAAGAUUAAGCCAUGCAUGUCUAAGUAUAAGCGAUUUAUACUGUGAAACUGCGAACGGCUCAUUAUAUCAGUUAUAGUUUCUUUGAUAGUGUUUUUUAGAUGGAUACUUGUGGCAAAUCUAGAAACAAUACAUGCUUAUAGGCCCGACUUUUAGGGAGGGCUGCAUUUAUUUGAUAUAAACCAAUACCUUUCGAGGUUGUUUUGGUGAUUCAUAAUAACUAACCGAACCGCAAUGGUCUUUGUGCCGGCGUUAAACCAUCCAAGUUUCUCCCCCAUCACCUGCCAACGGGAUUUAUUUGAACUACCGGGCCCUCCACGGGGAACGAAAAAUUAGGGUUCAAUCCCGAAAAGGAAGCCGGAAAAACGGCAACACCUCCCAAGGAAGGAACCAGGGCCGAAAGUAACCCAAGGUUAACCCGCCAAAUUAUGGACAAAAAGUCCACUGGCGGGGCAGCCAUGGAAUUGCAAGGGGAAGAAAACCAUGGUAAAACCCCCACCAAGAAUCAUUUGAAGGGCAGUUCGGGGGCCACCACCCCCGGAAUUUCCACCUCCAUAACCUAAAAUAACCUUUGUUGCAUUUAAAAAGCUCGAAUUUAAACUUUGGGAAGGGCCAACCGGGCCUUGGGGGCAGGCCCUUGUUUUGCCUGGGGCCUAACCGGGCAUCCCUCUCAUUUCUUUUUUUGGGGGGGGAUCAAUUUCGGGGAGUUAACCGGGGUGGCCAAAAAAAACAUUUGGUUGGGACAUCCAAGCACGGGAUAAAUAGAAAGGAGCCGGGUACCAUUUUGGUGGGUUGCAAAGCUAGGGAUGAUUAAAGGGACAGUGGGGGGAUUCGGAUUUAUUGGCCAAAGGGAAAUUCUUGGAUUUUGAAAAACAACGACUGGCAAGCAUUUACCAAGGAUGUUUCCUUAUCCAGAACGAAAGUUAGGGAUCAAAAUAAUAAAAACCACCCGAUCCUUACCGGUAACUAGCCGACUUGGAAUUUCCAAGUUCUUAAUGGACUUGGGACCCCCCCAGGAAAAUCAAAUCUUUGGUUCCGGGGGGAAUUUGGCCCGAGGGUUAACUUAAGGAAUUACGGGAGGGCCCCCCAGGGGGGGGCCCCGGGUUUUUUUUCCCCCCGGGAAAAUUCCCGGGCCCAAAAAAAAAGGUUCCAAAUUGAAACCCUUCCCUCUCCGGGGGGGGGGGGGGGCCCUUUUUUGGGGGGAAAUUUUCGGUUUUUCCUUUAAAAGAAAACCCCCCCAAAAAUUGGAAGGCGAAAAAACUUCGGCUUCGGGAAAUUUGGGUUCCCCCGAA